GCAAUGGUGGUUUAGUGGUAGAAUUCUUGCAUCCCACGCAGGGGACCCGGGUCCGAUUCACGGCCAACGCA
rfam:Danio rerio chromosome 4, GRCz11 reference primary assembly.